rnacentral:tRNA from 1 species
GGAAGGGUGUCCGAGGGGUUGAAGGAGGCGGUCUUGAAAACCGUUGGGCCUUUGCGGGUCCCGUGGGUUCGAAUCCCACCCCUUCCGCCA